UGGGGAAUUUUCCGCAAUGGGGGGAACCCUGACGGAGCAACGCCGCGUGCGGGAGGAAGGCCUGUGGGUUGUAAACCGCUUUUCUCAAGGAAGAUAAUGACGGUACUUGAGGAAUGAGCAUAGGCUAACUCCGUGUCAGCAGCCGCGGUAAUACGGAGGAUGCAAGCGUUAUCCGGAAUAAUUGGGCGUAAAGCGUUCGUAGGUGGUUUUGUAAGUCUGCUGUUAAAGCGUGUAGCUCAACUACAUAUAGGCAGUGGAAACUACAAAACUUGAGUGCGUUCGGGGCAGAGGGAAUUCCUAGUGUAGCGGUGAAAUGCGUAGAGAUUAGGAAGAACACCGGUGGCGAAAGCGCUCUGCUAGGCCGCAACUGACACUGAGGGACGAAAGCUAGGGGAGCGAAUGGGAUUAGAUACCCCCGUAGUCC
rnacentral:rRNA from 1 species